rnacentral:rRNA from 1 species
UGGGGAAUAUUGGACAAUGGGGGAAACCCUGAUCCAGCGAUGCCGCGUGAGUGAAGAAGGCCCUAGGGUUGUAAAGCUCUUUCAGUGGGGAAGAUAAUGACGGUACCCAAAGAAGAAGCACCGGCUAACUCCGUGCCAGCAGCCGCGGUAAUACGGAGGGUGCAAGCGUUGUUCGGAAUUACUGGGCGUAAAGCGUGCGCAGGCGGUUCUAUAAGACAGAUGUGAAAUCCCCGGGCUUAACCUGGGAACUGCGUUUGUGACUGUAGGACUUGAGUGUGGCAGAGGGGGGUGGAAUUCCACGUGUAGCAGUGAAAUGCGUAGAUAUCUGAAGGAACACCAGUGGCGAAGGCGACUCCCUGGACUAAAACUGACGCUGAGGUACGAAAGCGUGGGUAGCAAACAGG